rnacentral:rRNA from 1 species
UACGGAGAAUUCAAGCGUUACCCGGAAUAACUGGGCGUAAAGCGUUGCGUAGGCGGUUUGUUAAGUGAGAUGCGAAAUCUUGUGGCUCAACCAUUAAGACUGUAUUUCAAACUGGCAAACUAGAGGUUGGUAGAGGUGAGUGGAAUUUCUGGUGUAGGAGUGAAAUCCGUAGAUAUCAGAAGGAACACCAAUGGCGAAGGCAGCUCACUGGACCAUACCUGACGCUCAGGCACGAAAGCGUAGGGAGCGAACCGG